rnacentral:rRNA from 1 species
UACGUAGGUGGCGAGCGUUGUCCGGAAUUACUGGGUGUAAAGGGCGUGUAGGCGGGGAUACAAGUCAGAUGUGAAAUUCCAGAGCUCAACUCUGGCGCUGCAUCUGAAACUGUAUUUCUUGAGUGCUGGAGAGGAAAGCGGAAUUCCUAGUGUAGCGGUGAAAUGCGUAGAUAUUAGGAGGAACACCAGUGGCGAAGGCGGCUUUCUGGACAGUAACUGACGCUGAGGCGCGAAAGCGUGGGGAGCAAACAGG